AGAACGAACGCUGGCGGCAGGCCUAAUACAUGCAAGUCGAACGCACUCUUCGGAGUGAGUGGCAGACGGGUGAGUAACGCGUGGGAACCUUCCCAAUGGUACGGAAUAACUCCGGGAAACCGGUGCUAAUACCGUAUAAGCCCCUCGGGGGAAAGAUUUAUCGCCAUUGGAUGGGCCCGCGUCGGAUUAGCUAGUUGGUAAGGUAAUGGCUUACCAAGGCUACGAUCCGUAGCUGGUCUGAGAGGAUGAUCAGCCACACUGGGACUGAGACACGGCCCAGACUCCUACGGGAGGCAGCAGUAGGGAAUCUUGGACAAUGGGCGAAAGCCUGAUCCAGCCAUGCCGCGUGAGUGAAGAAGGCCUUAGGGUUGUAAAGCUCUUUUGGCGGGGACGAUAAUGACGGUACCCGCAGAAUAAGCCCGGCUAACUUCGUGCCAGCAGCCGC
rnacentral:rRNA from 1 species